AACGCGAAGAACCUUACCUGGGCUCGAAAUGUAGUGGAAUAGGGUGGAAACAUCCUAGUCUCGCAAGAGACUGCUAUAUAGGUGCUGCAUGGCUGUCGUCAGCUCGUGUCGUGAGAUGUUGGGUUAAGUCCCGCAACGAGCGCAACCCUUAUUGCCAGUUGCCACCGGGUUAUGCCGAGCACUCUGGCGAAACCGCGCGGGAUAACCGCGAGGAAGGUGGGGAUGACGUCAAGUCCUCAUGGCCUUUAUGUCCAGGGCUACACACGUGCUACAAUGGUCGGUACAAACCGUCGCAAACCCGCGAGGGGGAGCUAAUCGGAAAAAGCCGGCCUCAGUUCGGAUUGGAGUCUGCAACCCGACUCCAUGAAGCUGGAAUCGCUAGUAAUCGCGGAUCAGAACGCCGCGGUGAAUACGUUCCCGGGCCUUGUACACACCGGAGUGC
rnacentral:rRNA from 1 species